ACAAGUUUCUGUACUAUAUUG
rnacentral:misc_RNA from 1 species